UACAUGGAGUCCAAGCGUUAUCCGGAUUUACUGGGCGUAAAGCGUCCGCAGGCUUCCAAGCCAGUUCCUGGUGAAAUCUCACGGCCCAACCGUGAGACUGUCAGGAAUACUACUUGGAUUGAGUAUGGCAGAGGCAAGGGGAAUUCCCGGUGUAGGGGUAAAAUCCGUUGAUAUCGGGAAGAACACCAGUGGCGAAGGCGCCUUGCUGGGCCAUCACUGACGCUCAGGGACGAAAGCGUGGGUAGCGAACGGGAUUAGAUACCCCGGUAGUCCACGCCGUAAACGAUGGGUGCUAGGUAUCUGGAGCAUAGAUCCUCUGGGUAUCGAAGCUAACGCGUUAAGCACCCCGCCUGGGGAGUACGAGCGCAAGCUUAAA
rnacentral:rRNA from 1 species